GUAGAGGUCAAGGUAGUCACACUCUAAGUCAACUUAGACCUAUUCAAUGUCAUGUUGGUCCUUCAGAACUAGAUCCUAUUUUGCAAUCACCAGGUGCUACUUCAAUUGAUGGUAAUCAAUCACCACCUACCACCUCAGUGUUUGAUGGUGGUCAAUCAAAUGUCAAUUCAACAUCUAAUGACGUACCUACUCAAGAUCCUUCAAGUGUAUAUUCUCAUAAUGAAGUUGAUAGGAGACUUGUCAUAUCUGUACAAUAAGUUAGCAGACCAAGAAGGUUUGUUCCUGAUUCUGUGACUCGAGAUAUCAUAUCUGAAGUAUUGAUGAGAAUGCCUAAUCCAGCUGAGAAAUGGAAAACUUAUUCUGCUGAUAUGAAAGAAAUAUUAUUCAAUGAUUUUAAGGCAAGUUACUAUAAUCUUUUAUCUUUAUAUUACAUUUACUUAUCAUUAAUUUUGAUAAAUUUGUAUUGGUGUAGAAUAAGUACCGAUUUGCAUCAGAUUAUGAUCGUAGCAUGGCAAGAAAGGUUUGGAAUUUAACAUGCAUGGAUCGUUAUUCUGACUCUUUAGCUAAGGUAAGAAAAAAGGCAAGAGAAAGAGCAAACUCAGAUAAUAUAGAAGACUUAAAAGGUUUUGGGCCAAGAUGA